GGUCUUGCUAUGUUGGCCAGGCUGAUCUUGAACUCCUGGCUUCAAGAGAUCAUCCUGCCUCGGCUUCCUAAAGUGCUGGGAUUACAGAGGAAAGGCCAUGUGAGGACACAUCAAGAAGGUGGCCAUCUGCAAGCCAGGAAGUGAGGCCUCACCAGACGCCAGCCCUGCUGACUCCUGAUCUUAGACUUUCAGCCUCCAGGACAGAAAUAAAUUUCAAUUGUUUAA